GACGAACGCUGGCGGCGUGCCUAAUACAUGCAAGUAGAACGCUGAAGAGAGGAGCUUGCUCUUCUUGGAUGAGUUGCGAACGGGUGAGUAACGCGUAGGUAACCUGCCUGGUAGCGGGGGAUAACUAUUGGAAACGAUAGCUAAUACCGCAUAAAAUGGAUUAUCGCAUGAUAAUCCAUUGAAAGGUGCAAAUGCAUCACUACCAGAUGGACCUGCGUUGUAUUAGCUAGUUGGUGGGGUAACGGCUCACCAAGGCGACGAUACAUAGCCGACCUGAGAGGGUGAUCGGCCACACUGGGACUGAGACACGGCCCAGACUCCUACGGGAGGCAGCAGUAGGGAAGCUUCGGCAAUGGACGGAAGUCUGACCGAGCAACGCCGCGUGAGUGAAGAAGGUUUUCGGAUCGUAAAGCUCUGUUGUAAGAGAAGAACGAGUGUGAGAGUGGAAAGUUCACACUGUGACGGUAUCUUACCAGAAAGGGACGGCUAACUACGUG
rnacentral:rRNA from 1 species